rnacentral:rRNA from 1 species
CAGUAGCCGCGGGAAUACGUAGGUGGCAAGCGUUGUCCGGAAUUAUUGGGCGCAAAGGGCUCGCAGGCGGUUUCUUAAGUCUGAUGUGAAAGCCCCCGGCUCAACCGGGGAGGGUCAUUGGAAACUGGGAAACUUGAGUGCAGAAGAGGAGAGUGGAAUUCCACGUGUAGCGGUGAAAUGCGUAGGGAUGUGGAGGAACACCAGUGGCGAAGGCGACUCUCUGGUCUGUAACUGACGCUGAGGAGCGAAAGCGUGGGGAGCGAACAGGAUUAGAUACCCCCGUAGUCCCUGUCUCUUAUAC